rnacentral:lncRNA from 1 species
GGAGCGAGCACGCCAGCGCGAGUAUGGAGGACGCCUCUUAACGUUUGCUGAAUAUGGCGGCGUCCAGAGUCCGUUAUAGAGAAAGAGUUUGUUUAUAUAAUGGAUUACCUUGGUGGAUUUUCAUAUAUUGAACCAUCCCUGCAUUCCUGGAAUGAAGCCUACUUGAUCAUGGUGGAUGAAGUUUUUGAUGUGUUCCUAGACUUGGUUUGUUGAGGUGAACGGCCACAAGAAAAUAGCGGGAGAAAGAAGAACGUCAUGUGGGCCGUACUUCCCCAUGUCUGGUGCGUCUUUGGGGUGACCUCACAAGGAGUCGUCAUAGGAACCUGUUCAUACAAGGCACUGGCUCCAGCUGGCUUUGUGCUUAUACCUGAGAGAACUGUUGGUUGCUUGGAAAGAAGUUGGACUUGGAUAGACGUUGAUAAACUUGGGCUUCCCUGAUCAGUUGGACCUUGACAUAGUACGUUUACUGGCUCUUUGAUUUUUGAUGGGGCCGUUUUGCUUGAUUCUGUUGUCUUUGAGACUCUAAUUCCUGGGCUGGCCUGAAACCAUGUAGACCAGAUUGGCCUGGAGCUUGCUAUGUAGAGCAGGCUGGUCCAGAGUUCACAGUUCUCCCUUUGCCCUGCUUCUGGAGUAAUGGGAUUAAAGAUAGGCGUCACUUUGCCCA